rnacentral:lncRNA from 10 species
CUCAGGCAGCGCAUCUUUGCGACUGGUAAGAGAGUUCACCUGCAAGGAAUCAUUGUUUUCAUCCUAUAUUCAUGUCAAUAAAUCCAACUUCUCUACAGAAACUCUACUGAGUUGUGACUCCAGAGAAGAGGAAAGCCACCCAAGUCAUUUCACAGACCAGCCGAAAGAAGCCUCCCUGGGGAUGAGCUAACGAGGAGGAUUAGAUACAACUGUUCUCUGGCCAGGUGUCAAGACCCUGUUGGCAGAGGAACGGCAGAGACAUCUUGUGAAUUAUCUCCCAGUCACUGAUGCAAACCACUCAGAAUAAAUCAGGAUUGAAGAUUGAUUUCUACAAAAUUGCUUUAUUACUCAGGUAAAAUUUAUUGAUCUGUUAUAGAAAGAAAAAAAACAUAAUCGAAAGAGGAUAGUCCAUGCCUAAAUAGCAAACAUAAAACCUCCCAUAAAUCCUUUCAUUUCAGAUAUUUGAUAUUUAGUGCAGAAUAUGUUCUUGGGGAAGUUCAUCUUUGUGUAAAUUAUGUUGUCUGGGAGGAAACUUACAGAACUCAGGCAUCUUAAAACCCAUGAGUGAGUUAUUAAAAUAUACACUGAUAAGUAUGGUGACCCUAAUUUCCAAGCCCUAAAUCAGGACACAUAGUCACGAAAUGGUUUUUCCCCCUCUCUUCUUUAAAAAAUUAUUCUGGUAAUAGUUUUGCCCAUGAAAACAUUAAAUCAG